rnacentral:lncRNA from 1 species
AAAACACUGUCGUGCUGUCCGUUUCCGGCGGAGAAGUCACAGACUAGGAGAAAAGAUUUGCCGGUCACGUCUGUGACAAGGGAUCUGGACCUGGACCGUGCGGAGAACUUUCAGAGCUCCACAGCAAGAGAGCACACAGCCCCGUUAGCACGUGGGCAAGACACUUACCGUGGCGCUCCACCGGACGGGGCACAGGUGGUGGCUGACUCCUCCCCCCGCCAUAGCUGGGCUCUGCCCUGCCCUGUACUUCGGGAUUUCAGUCAGGGCCACUGCCCGUGGCGCUUAUCCUGCUUCCACUGUGGAAAAUGUUGAAGAAAAUACUUAUCCUCUCUCAAAUGAAGUCUCAGCAAGCCCUGUGAAUUUACAGCUCAGUCCAAGAUGAACAGGCAUAAUCUGUGGCUCCCUGUAGCAUCUGAAGUUUUGGGAAAUGAAGAAAGCAAGAGUGGUUUCAGCUCUCUUCUGAACUUCUUUGCUUCUUGCAAAUGGCUGUUUCAAGCCGUACCAGGGUAAGGACAGGGAGAAGCACGGUGAACGUCCAAGUGUUCCCUCUUAUGCUUACUGUCGGCUCUUAAAAAAGGUAAUUUAAAAUGUUU